rnacentral:lncRNA from 1 species
AAAUCAGUUGUUUGAAACGGAACUACUCUGUUUUGAAAUUACAACUGCAAGAGCAAAAGUUAGAGUAUGCUUCAUUAAACCGAAAGUACGUCCUUUUAGAAACUGAGGUAGAGCAACUGCAGAUCUCCAAUGCAACUUUGAAAGAAGAAAACAGACAGUAUGAGAAACUUGUUUCCAACACCGAACCGGAAAUUCGAGCAUGUAUGACUCGAAUGGUGGAGACGUCUCAGACUUUAGCUGGUCUUCAGAUGGCGUUCAAUAGACACAGGUCUCGGCAGCAACUGUCAAAAAUCGGUGGAUCGAUGUCAAAAAAUCAUCCAACAUUGGGAAAGAACUCAGUUAAGCACAGUAAGAAUGUACUCAAUGUGGCACCAAGGCGAAAACAGGCUGUGAGGCCAAUGGUACAAGGACUGCAAAUUUUCACUAACUUGACAAUUCCCCUGCAGCGGAUUUCGAUGCCUAACCAGGCUACCCGACGAAUUCCUGUUCCUGUGGUUGAAGCUCCACCAGAAUCAGAAGCAGUGAAUAUUGCUGCAGAGCCUGAAAGACCAAAUCCUUCGUCAUUUGAAAAACACCGUAGGAAUCUUCAUUUUGUCAAGAAGAACAUCAAGAGCAAGCCAAAACAUUUCGUUAAAGGUUCAAAGAAAGAUGACUUCAGGCAUCCUAAAGGCGAUUUCAAACAUUCAGGCUCCAUAUGCAUGGUCCCACAGUUAAAUUUUGAUGACUCCUCUGAUUCAGAACCAGAACCAAAAGUGAAGAGAUUUAUGAAACCGAUUGUCCUCAUCAGAGACUUUAAAGCUCCUAGUGUGAAAAGCGGAAAAUGCAAUGCCACAGAUUCAACUCAGGCAGCAAAAACUUCUCUAAACAGUUUCCAGUCUUGUCAGGUAGACUCCAAUUCCCACGAUCCUUUAGAAGGUACGAGUAAAAUGUAUUUAAGCAAGUCUCACAUUGGCCCUAAGAGGCGAAUACAUCCAUCGUUUCGAAGGAAUAGUUGCAAUUCAGACUCUGACUCAGAUUCUGAAAGUCCUGUCAAGAAGUCAGAACUCCCAACUCCACCAAGAAGAGAACUAUGUCCUCUUAAAGUAAAUAUAAAUUCUGAAACCGAGAAUAAUGAAAUAAGUUUCCAGCAUGUUGAUGAUAUUUGUACUACACUGCCCACUGUAACUGUGAAUUUAGGUAACAGUUUAGCAUCGAUUUCUAAUGUAGCCAAUACAAACUCUGGAGAAUCCUUUGUCUCUGAGAUAUGGGAGAGUGGCAUAGCUGAGCAGGAUGUAAGUGACAAUGGUAAUAAAGAUCAAAUUCCACAUGAUGUUGAAAUGACACCAUCAUUUGACUCAUGA